UGAAGGUAAGGGCUGUGCCUUGUUCGUUUC
rnacentral:piRNA from 1 species